GACGUAGGGCGCGAGCGUUGUCCGGAUUUAUUGGGCGUAAAGAGCUCGUAGGCGGCCAGAUAAGUCCGGUGUGAAAGUCACAGGCUCAACCUGUGAAUGCCGCUGGAAACUGUCUGGCUAGAGUCCGGAAGGGGCGAGUGGAAUUCCUGGUGUAGCGGUGAAAUGCGCAGAUAUCAGGAGGAACACCAAUGGCGAAGGCAGCUCGCUGGGACGGUACUGACGCUGAGGCGCGAAAGCGUGGGGAGCAAACAGG
rnacentral:rRNA from 1 species